rfam:Myotis lucifugus cont2.26277, whole genome shotgun sequence.
GAGUGCUUACAGCUCUUUUAGAAUCUGUCCAGCAGGUUGUUAAUGUAAGAAACCAUU